rnacentral:ncRNA from 17 species
AUUUUUGAUUUUUGAAUAAAUCAUAUACCUUUGUUCCGUUCAUCAGAAAGGGAACCCCGUGAAAAUCGAGGACAGUACCCGCUGCUGUAAUGCUUACCCGUAAGGGUUAUCUUCCGUAAGCCACUGCCAACAGGUGGGAAGGCGAGAGAUAUAAAAGCUAAGUCAGAAAACCUGCUUUUGGACAAAACAUAUUA